rnacentral:rRNA from 1 species
UACAGAGGGUGCAAGCGUUAAUCGGAAUUACUGGGCGUAAAGCGUGCGUAGACGGUUACAUAAGUCGGGUGUGAAAGCCCCGGGCUCAACCUGGGAAUUGCAUUCGAGACUGCGUAGCUAGGGUGCGGAAGAGGGAAGCGGAAUUUCCGGUGUAGCGGUGAAAUGCGUAGAUAUCGGAAGGAACACCAGUGGCGAAAGCGGCUUCCUGGUCCAGCACCGACGUUCAGGCACGAAAGCGUGGGAGCAAACAGG